rnacentral:misc_RNA from 1 species
GAUGAAGAACGUAGCGAAAUGCGAUACGUAAUGUGAAUUGCAGAAUUCAGUGAAUCAUCGAAUCUUUGAACGCACAUUGCGCCUGCCAGCACUCAGGCAGGCAUGCCUGUUCGAGCGUCAUUUCAACCAUCAAGCCCUAGGCUUGCGUUGGAGCCCUGCGGCUGCCGCAGGCCCCUAAAAGCAGUGGCGGGCUCGCUAUCACACCGAGUGCAGUAGAUUACUCUUCGCUCAGGGCGUGUGGCGGGUUCCAGCCGUGAAACCCCCUACUUCUCAAGGUUGACCUCGGAUCAGGUAGGAAUACCCGCUGAACUUAAGCAUAUCAAUAAGCGGAGGA